rnacentral:rRNA from 1 species
GAGUUUGAUCCUGGCUCAGAGUGAACGCUGGCGGCGUGCUUAACACAUGCAAGUCGAACGGUAACAGAGAAGAGCUUGCUCUUCUGCUGACGAGUGGCGCACGGGUAAGUAAUAUAUAGUUAAUGUGCCUCGAAGACUGGGAUAGCCACUGGAAACGGUGAUUAAUACUGGAUACUCCUUCUAAUCAUAAGAUUAGUCGGGAAACGUUUUUUCGCUUCGAGAUCAGACUAUAUCCCAUCAGUUAGUUGGUAGUGUAAGAGACUACCAAGGCAAUGACGGGUAGCGGGUUUGAGAGGAUGAUCCGCCACACUGGUACUGAGACACGGACCAGACUCCUACGGGAGGCAGCAGUGAGGAAUAUUGCACAAUGGGGGAAACCCUGAUGCAGCAACGCCGCGUGGAGGAUGACGCAUUUCGGUGUGUAAACUCCUUUUAUAUGUCAAGAAAAUGACGGUAGCAUAUGAAUAAGCACCGGCUAACUCCGUGCCAGCAGCCGCGGUAAUACGGAGGGUGCAAGCGUUACUCGGAAUCACUGGGCGUAAAGGACGCGUAGGCGGGUUGGAAAGUCAGGUGUGAAAUCCUACAGCUUAACUGUAGAACUGCACUUGAAACUUCCAACCUAGAGUAUGGGAGGGGGAGAUGGAAUUAGUGGUGUAGGGGUAAAAUCCGUAGAUAUCACUAGGAAUACCGAAAGCGAAGGCGAUCUCCUGGAACAUUACUGACGCUAAGGCGUGAAGGCGUGGGGAGCAAACGGGAUUAGAUACCCCGGUAGUCCACGCCCUAAACGAUGAACACUAGUCGUCGGGAUGCUUGUCAUCUCGGUGAUGCACUUAACAGAUUAAGUGUUCCGCCUGGGGAGUACGGUCGCAAGAUUAAAACUCAAAGGAAUAGACGGGGGACCCGCACAAGUGGUGGAGCAUGUGGUUUAAUUUCGAAGAUACGCGAAGAACCUUACCUAGCCUUGACAUUGAUAGAACACCCUAGAGAUAGAGUGGU